GUGACAAUGUCUUACUGCUGCGAGUUGUAGUUUCGCAAUAAUUCCAGCAACUUCUAACUGAUUAUGCCAGGCGAACGUAGAACCCAUCUAAGCGUGAAUUUUAGUUUUACUUUCUAAGACUAUUCCCUUCAAGCACAUGGAUAGGACGGGUUGAGUGUCUAAGGCCUCAUUUAUAUGCGUGUAAUGUAAGGUAUCAAUGAACAAAAGUCUAGUGAAAGAAGAGAGAAUGGGAGAAAAAGUAAAAUUGGAUUAAUAGUGAACUUAAAGGUGAUACGUUUAAAGCAAAGAUUUCAAAAUAACUUACAUAAUGUGGAGGAUGCUGGGCCAUGUUUAUACGUUAUGCCGUAAGCUGAGUGUAUUGCCAGAACAGCGUUAUGUGCAGCUGAUUCCUAUGUCAAAAGAUAUUGUUGAGCACUUCAAAAACAACAUUGACAGAAGUGACAUUACACUACUCGACCCCACUGGACUUCCAUCACCCUCCCUCCACACUCCCCAUUCUCUCCUGUGCUCCUUCACCCCUGUAACUGAUGAGGAAGUCUCAAAACUGUUGGCCUCUUCUCCCCUUACUACCUGCCCGCUUGAUCCUAUUCCUUCAAAACUUCUCCAUAAUGCCAAUCCCUGUCUAAUCAAAGCCUUAACUCAUUUAUUUUUCAUCUCUCGCUGUCAAUGGGAAUCUUUCCUUCUCAACUAAAACAUGGUCUUGUCACCCUGAUUCUAAAAAAACCUCUCGAUCCCUCGAAUCUUGAUAACCUCUGGCCUAUCUCUCUGCUACCUUUCAUCUCUAAACUACUUGAGCGCCUAGUCUACAACCGACUAACCUCAUUCCUCUCUGACAAUAACCUGCUGGACCCCCUACAAUCUGGUUUUAAGCAACAACACUCCACUGAAACUGUCCUAACCUGACUAACUAGUGA